rnacentral:misc_RNA from 1 species
UCCGGUUUGUCACCGGCAGUCUCCUAUGAGUCCCCGGCAUUAUCCGCUGGCAACAUACGACGGGGGUUGCGCUCGUUGCGGGACUUAACCCAACAUCUCACGACACGAGCUGACGACAGCCGUGCAGCACCUGUGCAGGCUCCCGAAGGAGCCCCGUGUUUCCACGGGUUUACCCUGCAUGUCAAGCCCUGGUAAGGUUCUUCGCGUUGCGUCGAAUUAAGCCACAUGCUCCGCCGCUUGUGCGGGCCCCCGUCAAUUCCUUUGAGUUUUAGCCUUGCGGCCGUACUCCCCAGGCGGGGUGCUUAAUGCGUUAGCUCCGACACCGAGUGCGUCUAUACACCCGGCAUCUAGUGCCCAUCGUUUACGGCGUGGACUAC